CCUCUCUAAGCAUUUCGAUCGAAGAUUCAGAACUCUCUCUCUCUCUCUCAACUCUUGUACGCACACAUCUCUCUCUCCCUCUCAACCCUCCCUAAGCUCCAUCGAAGAUUCAGAUCGAAGCUCCAUCGAAGCGAUUUUGAAGCUCCAUUGAAGAUUCAGAUCGAAGCGCCAUCGAAGCGAUUUUGAAGCUCCAUCAAAGAUUCAUACCUAAGCUCCAUCGAAGAUUCAGAUCGAAGCCCCAUGGAAGCGAUUUCGAAGCUGCACCGGCGAGGUAGCGAGCUCCACCGGCUCAUUUGCAAAGAUUUAGUGAUUUCCAGAAGCUCAGAUCUGAACUCUGACCCCUCGAUUACUCGCAUUUCAAGCUCUGAUCUGAAAAAAAUCUCAGUUCGAUUCUUGAGGAUUUUUGCACAGAGUCUUGUCUGGCCUCUAAGACCGACCAUUUACUUGUAGAUACUAUUGAAAGCAGGGUGUUGAGUAACAAGGAGGGAGAGUCUUCUCUUUCAGAAUCCAAGUGGUUAGAACAUGAUGAAUCUUUGGCUAUUUGGGUCAAGAGGGAUUUCUUAUUCUAUCCUCCAUGGGCUUUUGGGUUGCCAAUUUGGGUCCUCAGUAUACCCCUCUCCUUAGUGGAAUCAGCAAUAUGGAUCAGUCUUACAUAUUACACAAUUGGGUUUGCUCCAGACACCAG